AGUGGACGCUGGCGGUAGGCCUAACACAUGCAAGUCGAGCGGCAGCACAGUAAGAGCUUGCUCUUACGGGUGGCGAGUGGCGGACGGGUGAGGAAUACAUCGGAAUCUACUUUUUCGUGGGGGAUAACGUAGGGAAACUUACGCUAAUACCGCAUACGACCUACGGGUGAAAGCAGGGGAUCUUCGGACCUUGCGCGAUUGAAUGAGCCGAUGUCGGAUUAGCUAGUUGGCGGGGUAAAGGCCCACCAAGGCGACGAUCCGUAGCUGGUCUGAGAGGAUGAUCAGCCACACUGGAACUGAGACACGGUCCAGACUCCUACGGGAGGCAGCAGUGGGGAAUAUUGGACAAUGGGCGCAAGCCUGAUCCAGCCAUACCGCGUGGGUGAAGAAGGCCUUCGGGUUGUAAAGCCCUUUGUUGGGAAAGAAAAGCAGCAGGUUAAUACCCCGCUGUUCUGACGGUACCCAAAGAAUAAGCACCGGCUAACUUCGUG
rnacentral:rRNA from 1 species